GUUCCAAACAAACAGCACAAAGUGAACUCACAUUUAACCAAAGGCAGGUUUAGUCAGACAUUAAGGUGGGGGUGGUGAGGUGUUUGGGUGGGGGCAGGUUCAGUUAGGCAUUAAGGUGGGGGUGGUGAGGUGUUAGGUGGGGGCAGGUUCAGUUAGGCAUUAAGGUGGGGGUGGUGAGGUG